rnacentral:rRNA from 1 species
GACGAACGCUGGCGGCGUGCCUAAUACAUGCAAGUCGAACGCAGUGGGGACGGGUGAGUAACACGUGGGUAACCUCCCAUCAGAGGGGAUAACACUUGGAAACAGGUGCUAAACCGAUACUGAUGGAUGGACCCGCGGUCCAUUAGCUAGUUGGUGAGGUAACGGCUCACCUAGGCGACGAUCUCUAGCUGGUCUGGGAGGAUGAUCAGCCACCCUGGGACGGAGACACGGCCCAAACUCCUACGGGAGGCAGCAGUGGGGAAUAUUGCACAAUGGGCGCAAGCCUGAUGCAGCCAUGCCGCGUGUAUGAAGAAGGCCUUAGGGUUGUAAAGUACUUUCAGCGGGGAGGCGUUAACCGCAGAAGAAGCACCGGCUAACUCCGUGCCAGCAGCCGCGGUAAUUC